AUUCAAGCAGCCGCAAGGACAUCCUAAGUUAAAUACUUGGGCGACUGAGCGGCCAAAUUGAAUCCAAUCCAAUUACCCAAAUUAAACAGCCCAUUUAUAGUUCCAACUCCCAUUUACAAAUUUCAGCCCAAAGUCAAAUGUCCGAAUAUACAGUCCUUUUACAGUUAUGCAAUCCUAUUACAUGAAGUACCUACAGUCCAUCUACAGUUUCCAAAUUACAAAUCCCCUUCACAAAUUCCAUUUGCAGUUCUACAGAAUAUUCCUAUUACAACUGGGCUUUUCUUUUCCCUCUCAGCCCAGCAUAUCAGAAGUCUAUUUCUACACCCUC
rnacentral:lncRNA from 1 species